rnacentral:tRNA from 8 species
GCCGGAGUGGCGAAAUUGGUAGACGCGCACGACUCAAAAUCGUGUCUCGCAAGAGAUGGGAGUUCGAUUCUCCCCUCCGGCA